AAUUUUUAUUUUAAUUUUUGAAUUUUAUCAUACAAUUCUGUAUAGUCUGGGAUUCCCCUCCCCUCAGUUCCCACCCACCGACUGAUUUUUCCCAUAUUGUCACAAAAGUACAUUUCUUCAUAAGGAGUUACAAUUCUAUCAGUCUGCUGUCUAAGUGUGCCCUGACAUUGCUAGUACAGUCAAGGUCAGACAGUUCAGCAUCCCAUUGUCUAUCUUUCAGAUAUUUAUUUCUCUUCAUAUAAACACCCUUGAGGAACACUUCAAAUUAGCUGUGGUGAAGAGGAAAGACAUUGAUUGAAAAUCAGAACACUCCAAUUCUAGUUCUGCCUCUGUCUCUUUUUUGAAGGUCAUGUCAGUUUACCUCUCCUAAUUUCUGUUUCUUUGUGACAAAGCAUGGCCUAACAGAUUAAUAAAUUGUUAGAGAUGGAUGAAGGAAUUACCUAAUGGGGUCUCUUUGUUUUACACUUAGAGAUAUAGGGAGGUGAAUUUCUCAAGUUCACCCAAUGAGUGGCAAAAUCCGAACUGGAAACUCAGGUCUUCAGACUGUCCCAUUCUGGGAUUUUUACGUGAUGCAAUUACAUUAGAGUGUGUGAAAAUGUGAUACAAAGUGUAAAGCAUCAUGUAGGUGUGAGAUGAUUAUUUUCCCUUAGUUUAGGUGUGGGGAAAAAGAAAGAUCCAUCACUAAUCAAUGGACAUGGUAAUUACAUUUUUGGAGAAAGUCAUGGCCAUUAGAAAGUUCAGCCUCCAGGGCAGUAGUCACUGUCAGUAUUUUAUGAAGUGUCUGUCCCUUCCUCACUCCCUCCAUGACCUAAUGUAAUCUUCACCUUUGCUUUGGCCUGUCCACAUAGAGUAGGCAGCAGUGAUCAGCCUGAUCCAAUUACCUCAACUUUUUGAACAUUUAUCUGAAUCCUUCAACCCUAGGGCAGCAACAAACUCAGGCAAUAAAAAUGGAUACUAGUAUCAAUGACUAAUUAAUAUUAUUUAUAAUACCUAAUAUUUAUGUGUGCUUUACAUUUUCCAAAACACUUCGCGUCUGUUUCCUCACAAGCAGAGAUACUGUGCUUUGUUUAAUGUCCAUAGAUCCCAGUGGAGAUGGAGUUAUAAGUAGAACCUAAGAUUUCAAGUGUCAGUUCUAAGUUUCCCUUCUCUUCUGCUCUCUUAGAACAAGUAAAUAGUAUAGGAGCUAUAAUAUCCUUAACUGUCAAAAGAAGGGUCCAUAUUUUUGUACUUUCUAGCAGGAAAGUGAACUAAGGAUUUCACACAGUUUUCAAAAAACAAGAAGUCAUAGCAGUUGUUUUCUUAAUUAACAAAAAAUCUGGCUCUUUGAAAGCUUAACAACUUCUGAGCUUUCUAGAUAGAUACAAUUUUAACUGUGGCGAGUCAAACUGAGGCUGUAGACCACAGCAUGGGCUCUGUUCUCAUACUUUCCAAGGUGUCAGUCUCAGCUCUGCCACGGUAAGCUGUGUGGCUUUAGAUCAGUUGCCCUGCCUCUCUAAACCUCUUCCCUAAAUAUUUAAGUAUAUUAUCUCAGAUCCUUAAACAAUGUGAAGAUAGUGUGACGAGCUCUGUUUAGUGGGAACAAAACUUGAUGUUAUUUUAAUUAUUUGAAACUUUUAAAGUCACCUUAAAUCUUAAUCUUCCUCUAGAUUUAUGAUAUUAAUUAGUUUCAAGGUCCCUUUAAAUCUUGUUUUUUCCAAAUUAGUGGAUUUUAAUGUUCUUCAGAUUGUUAACUUUUUUUCUUUAGUCAUUUUCAUGGUAAUUUUCCAAGAGUUAUGAAGAACAUACAAGUUGAGACAAUUGUACUAAUUCCAGUUACAUCCUUUUAUUCAUCUGGAAGGUGUUAAUGUAAACACAACCAUAAACCAUGGCUUAAAUAAUUUUUUAUUUCACAGUUGAAAGUUAGUGCAUAGCACUUUCCCUGAGGGUAGUAAAAAUCUGAUGAUGGGGAUGGAGGCAGAGGGAAUGCCCAGAAUAUAGGUUUAUGAGAGUGGUCUUCAAAAAACUUUUCAUGGAAAAUAGAUAGUAUUUUAAAACUGUAUGAAUUUCAAAAAUGUUUUACACAAAAAUAAACUUAGGUUUUAAUUCCAUUUCUUCAUGAAUUUUCUGUGUAGUUUACACUCCCCUCUGGGGAGUAAUAAGUGUUUGCCGGUGUCAUGUGAUAAUGUUGCUAAGGAUGAUGAGUUGCAAUAUGGUAUUUUUCUUGUACUUUCGAA